UGAGAGGUAUUAAAAACAGCAAUAUCAGGACUGAAAAUCCUCGUGUCGGCAGUUCGAUUCUGCCUCUGGCCACCA
rnacentral:tRNA from 1 species